rnacentral:rRNA from 1 species
AUACGGAGGGUGCAAGCGUUAAUCGGAAUUACUGGGCGUAAAGGGCGCGUAGGCGGUCUAUCAAGUCAGGUGUGAAAUCCCACGGCUCAACCGUGGAGGUGCAUCUGAAACUGAUAGACUUGAGUAUGUGAGAGGAAAGUGGAAUUCCCGGUGUAGAGGUGAAAUUCGUAGAUAUCGGGAGGAACACCAGUGGCGAAGGCGACUUUCUGGACCAAUACUGACGCUGAGGCGCGAAAGCGUGGGGAGCAAACAGAAUUAGAUACCCGAGUAGUCC